CACCGGCGGCUCGAGUGGUGGCCACUUUUAUUGGGUCUAAAGCGUCCGUAGCCGGUCCAGUAAGUCCCUGUUUAAAUCCUGCGGCUUAACCGCAGGACUGGCAGGGAUACUGCUGGACUUGGGACCGGGAGAGGUGAGAGGUACCUCAGGGGUAGGGGUGAAAUCUUGUGAUCCCGGGAGGACCACCGGUGGCGAAGGCGCUCGGCUGGAACGGGUCCGACGGUGAGGGACGAAGGCCAGGGGAGCGAACCGG
rnacentral:rRNA from 1 species